UAUUUGAUGACCCUUUACCAGACACACUUACACACAAGAUGGAGAUGGCUAGUGAGGAAAAGCGUUCACUUGUCCUUCCCUCUACGAGCGUCCACAAGGCUGGAUAUCGGUUGGAUACUCACCCAAAAGGCCAGCAGCAAUGGAUCACGAGGCAAAGAGCAUCGCAGCGAGUACAAUGAUGGAGAGCACGAGAGGGGCGGAGUCAUUGAGAAGUUGCUAUGAUAACAGAUGAUGGAGGAGUUACAAGGUGACACUGUGGAGUUUGCGGACAACCCAUCGGACGUCUUACACUGCAGAUAGAAAGAAAACAAUCGUCUUUCCUAAGAAAUAGCAUGCAGCGGCCAUUUUGCAGUCUCCACGUAAUCAACUGACUUGUUCCAUUGAGAACACCAUGCAUGCAGACGCAGGAUGGAGGUACACUGUGGGCUCUUUGCUACUGCUUAUAAACAAGGAGCCUAAAUGCCACAGAAAUCUGUAACGAAAAUUACCAACACAUUUAUAGUAUCAGCUAUUUUAUGUUAUCAUGUAUACCCGUGUGUGUAUUAGCCUCGAUUCCAG